UUUUUUGCUAUUUCUUCAGGGCCGCUCCCGUGGCACAUGGAGAUUCCCAGGCUAGGGGUCUAAUCGGAGCCGUAGCCACCGGCCUACGCCAGAGCCACAGCAGUGCGGGAUCCGAGCCGCGUCUGCAACCUACACCACAGCUCACGGCAACGCCGGAUCGUUAACCCACUGAGGAAGGGCAGGGACCGAACCCGCAACCUCAUGGUUCCUAGUCAGAUUCGUUAACCUCUGCGCCACGAUGGGAACUCCUUUUUUCUUUUCUUUCUUUCUUCUUUCUUUCUUUCUUCCUUCCUUCCUUCCUUCCUCCCUUCCUUUCUGUGUGUGUUCAUAUGUUUAUCUUUUAGGGCCUCACCUGGGGCACAUGGAAGUUCCCAGGCUAGGGGUUGAACUGGAGCUGCAGCUGCCUGCCUACACCACAGCCACAGCAACAAAGAAUCCGAGCCAUGUCUGUGACCUACACCACAGCUCAGGGCAAUGCUGGAUCCUUAACCCACUGAGCAGGGCCAGGGAUCAAACCCAAGUCCUCGUGGAUACUAGUUGGCUUCAUUACCACGGAGCCAUGAUGGGAACUCCCAGAAUCCCAGCUUCUUGACCCUCAAUUUGGAUUUCCCCUAGAAAAAGAUCCUCGGACAAGAUUUGAAAGAAAUGGUUUACCUGAGAGGUCAUCCCAGAAAACAUUAGAUGGGGAGUGGAGAAAUGAGAUAAAGAAGGAAAGAAAGUAAAAAAAGAAAGAAAGAAAGAAAGAAAAGAAAAAGAAAGGAAGGAAGGGAGGGAAGAAGGAAGGAAAGGAAUGACCGGGAGCCACAGGGAAGGCUUGUCUCACGGUUAUGCACCUGCCCCCCGUAAAGGGAGCUGGGCUCUUUGUCCACCAGCGUCCAAAAGUCCUUGGUUGAGAGCCGCGCUGGGGAUGGGAACUCUGUCCCCAGCACUUCUGACCUGGCCGACAAGCAGGCAGAGAGGCUCAGGGCCAGAGAAAGCCCUCAGGUGCUGACAGCUGGCAGUCUGGCUGGCAAGAGCAGAGAGGUACAUGCCCAGGGAAUCUGGGCGGGCGCUGAACCAUCUGCCAUGCUUACUCGCUGAGUGACCUUGGGGAAGUUACAUCCCUUCUCUUAUCCCAUUUUCUGCAGCCUUGAAAUGGAGAUAAAAAUGCCUUUCUCGUAGGGUAGAUAUUAAGAUUAUAUGAGGUCAGGUAGGUAAGGGAGUAGCCCAGUGCCAGACUUGCAAUACAAACAAUAUAUACUCACUGCUUAUGAUCAAUACUCUUUAAGGGCUUCCUCCUUUUGGAGAGAAGGGCUGGGGAGGAAACAAACAAACAUAAAAUCUGGGGGUGUGGGAGAGAAUGCUCUGAAAUGGCCCCUCACUCCUUCCCUGUGGACGGCCACGCAGCACAUGGACCCCAGGCCCAUCAGAGGUCCUUAUAGAGAAGCCCAACCAGCUCCAAUGUCUGAUGACAGCAGGAGACCUCUAAAGGAAACUGAAACUAGAUAAAGGAGGCAUCUCCCUGGUCCCUUCCAGCCCCACCACUUUAUUUUAUAAAGAUUUUGGAUGCAGAUGGGGCAUGCGACUGUAAAACCGGCAGCCAGCCAACGCAGACCGGGCCAUCUCCUUCCUGAGGGAGGAAGGCCCCCAAACAAAGAAAUGCUCCCAUCUGGAUGACUCUGGCUAGCCUACCCCAGAGGCAGGGGGCUGGACCCUGAGAAAUUGCAAAGAUUCUCUCAGUCCCUGAAGCAGUGUGGCCUAAGGGAAGUUCCAACAAACACUGACCAUCUCUGUCAUGUUCCUUCAAAAACAGGGGCUGGGGUCCAAUAUGUGCGCUAAAGACUUCAUGAAAUAGCCCCUCUUGGCAAAUUCUACUGCACAUUAACCUAGUCAAAGUUUUAAGGUUCUACAAUAAAGAAUUCUGCUUAAUCCAGUAUUUCCUAAACUUACCUGACAAAAUUGAAUGUAUGUAUAUGUGAAAUACCUAUUAAGCUCCCUCCAAAGGACAGUCAGUAGGAGCAUCUGGGCCAAAGGCAGGGCUGGGUGCUGUGCCUGGUACACAGUAGGCACCUAAUAAAUGGUUGUUGUCUGAAUGAAUGGGGAGAAGGCUGAAAGAAUGACUUAAUAAUGGCUUUCAAAUCUGUGAAGGCAUAUAGUACCGGCAGUGCCAGGCAACAGAUCUCUGUUUCCAAGAAGGCACACGUUUUAAAUUGCAGCAGGAGGGAUUCUGGAAGCCCUGCUCAGAGUUUAGGAUAACAAUCCACCAAAAUAGGCUUCCAAGCCAAGCUGCAUCGCUUCCUUCUGUGGAGGUGUUGGUCUAGCACUUCGGCAGAGCCGAGAGUCUGCGUGCAGCCGUCCACCCACCCCACCGCCCGUUCAUUCAUUCAUUCACACCCUCGCUGAGCACCUACUACAUGCCAGGCACUGAGGUCCCUCAGGACCCCUUCCAAGAGCCAAGGGGGGAUGCCAUCGAGCUGUGUGAUAACACCCAGGGAGCCCCUAAGAGGGAUGGAGAGGGCGCCACCCAAGUGUGAGGUCAGGAAGACUCAUAACCCUCCCGGAGCAAGAAGUGUGUGUGUGCAGGGGGCCGGGUGGGGGUGGAGUGCGGGCUGACAUAGGAGGCUGGCCAAACGAAUAAAGCCACUACUGUCUCCCAGUGUUUGUUUGUUUACCCCCCUUUUCUUGUGACUAUAUCCCAUUGUUCCCAGAGAGCAUCCCUGCCCCCACCUUCAAGCUUUUCUCCUCCCCACAGCUCAUCUCCUCUGCCUUUCCUCACAAGCCGCCGCCUCCUCCUUCAAACCAUCUCCUAACUCCCCACCUCUUGCCUGUCUCCUGAUCUCAUUUUCCGCUUUCUGUACCAUCCAUUCUGGACUUGGGGUAUCCUCGGUGUUUGUCAUAUUCACUUCAUACAAACAAAUGAAUAAACCAGGACGUAAACUGCGGUUCAUUUUCCUGCUGACCGCCCCUCCGACCACUGCCUCCACCAAGGGUGAGCCAUGCAUUGCUGUGCCUCAAACCAGAGUGCAGGGAUGGGAACAGCAGGAUGAGAGGAGGGUUCGGGUCCAGGUCUGGGAGCUCCUUCCCGUCCUAUUCCACCAUCUCCAAUCACCUUCCAGCUCUGCAUCCUACAUCAGGACACUCCAAAUUGGGCUGCAGCUCUGCAGUGACUCUGCGACUGUGAAACAUGGAGAUGGGACCCCCAACAGACUGCAACAGGCAGUCGUGCUGUGGCAAGACACGAAACCACAGAAUCUGAGGGGUGGGUGUGACCUGAGCAGUUAUCUUGCUCAAGGACCCCAAACCUAACAGUUGCUGUUCAAAAGACAGAUCCCUGGAGUUCCAAUUGUGGCUCAGUGGUAAUGAAUCGGAUUAGGAUCCAUGAGGAUGCAGGUUCAAUCCCUAACCUUGCUCAGUGGAUUAAGGUUCCGGUGUUGCCUUGAGCUGUGGGUGUAGGUCUCAGACAUGGCUCAGAUCCCACACUGCUGUGGCUCUGGCGUAGGGCAGCACCUGCAGCUCUGAUUCUACCCCUAGCCUGGGAACUUUCAUAUGACGAGGGUGCAGCCCUCGAAAGACAAAAAAAAAAAAAGACAUAUCCCUUCUUGGGACCCAGCCCAGUUCUUUUGGAAGCAGGGCCUUCCAUCUCCUCAGUAACAUGCUGGUGGACAGCCAUCCAGUCUCCCCUUGAACACCUCCACUGACACAGCUGGUGACUCCAAGAGGCAUCUGGUUUGUUGGCUACAACCCCAAAGGCUAGAAAGGUAUCUCCUACCUGGAGAUGAAAUCUGUCUACUGUUUCCACCCAUUUGCCCCCAAUCUGCCCUUUGGAGCAACUAAAAAUAAAUUUAGUCCCUCUUCUAACAUCUGCCAGCAGGGAUCACAGCAGUAAAUAAUGCCUUGUCCAUGUCUCUGGUUUCUUACCUUGCUCUCCUCCCAGCUAAGCACCGCCCAUUCUUUCAAGUAUUCUCUCAGAAGUCAAGGUUCCCAAUGCCCUUAGCAAACUGGUGCCCUCGUCUCAAUUCUAGAAUCAAACAGUACUCCAGGUGGGGUCUCAAUCUGCCUAUAAAGUGGAGAUGCCCAUAAGCCUAACCAAGACCCCACUGGAUGUUUUCCUAACAGCCAAAUCAGAACACAGGUUCCCAUGAUCAAGGUCCAUUGACUAGAAAGGAGAAAUUUUGUUCACAGUGUUGUAAAGAGAGAUGGUCCCCUUCUUGCAUUUGGACACUGCCUGGAGAAAGGGGUAAGGAGUCAGGCUUUCCAAAUACCUUUAUGGAGUUUGUGUUUGGCAGAGAAAAAUGAACACCGAUCUGGCCGCUGCUAGCAAACUCCCGCCACCUGAUGAGCAUGGAUGAGCGAAGGAUAUGCUAAAGUGUAACUUAUGUAACUGUACCCAAAGGAUUCAGGGGCAUGAUCAGGUCUGGAGCUCCCGGAGCAGGCUGUUUCAUUCCUAACACAAGCGAUGCUCCUGAGAAGUACCGGACCAGGAACUGGACCCGCCACAAGAUACAUAAAGUUAAUGGAGGUGCCAAGCAGGCAGCUGCGAACUGGAAGUUACCCAGCAACUGGAAGUUACCUGAUAGGCUGGUGCUAUCACAGGGAGGAUUCCCCGUUGGGUCCCCCUUCCCAAGCACCCACCCAUCCCUGGCUGGGACCAAAGUGGGCACUCCAUCUGCACCUCUCGGGAGAACAGGCUUGCCCCAGCAGGCCACAGCCCUGCUCUAGCUGCCAGCUGCUCCCUGACAGAGUAACUCAAGGCCAGGACCUGUCUACCCAGAAGAGUGUCUGUCCAGACCUUUUACGCUGAUUUUUAAAGCCCUUCUGUAAGGCUGGGCAGAUUUCCACGAUGGGGUUUAAUACAUUGCAUGUGUCCUCUUUACAGACAAACACAAGCACACUGUCCUGUGUUCCACAGCACACACAUCUCACACUCUUGCUCUAGAUCAAAACUUAAAUUUUGAAUAUUAAUGGUCAACAUUCCCGCAGAUACAGCAGCUGAUGGUUCUGCUCCUCGGGUGGGUCUUUGCCACUCAAGUCUUCUCCACAGGCAUUGGGACACCCAUGGGAUCCAAAAACAGCCCCCUAUUCCCUAUCCAGCAGCCCUGCUGGACCCCCGGCCCUGAGGCUCUGCUCCCCUCCCAGCAGCCCCUUCUUGCUGCACAGAGAAAGAGGCAACAUAAUUGAAGACAAUUAGCAAAUAUAAUUGGCAGAUACAAUUAGUGAUGAGCCAAGAUGAGCAGACCCUCCCCGGCUACAAACUCGGAGCCAGCCUCCCAGGCCAGCCUGCUGUUGCUGCUGAGGUUCACUACAGCAAGAUUUCUCCUGUCCAGAAAUGUAUACGAUGGGGUAAGUAACAGGUGGCAGAUGAGCCCCAGGAUUGUGGUGAAAGUGUGUAUCCCCUUCCACCAUCCUCUAGGGGGCAGCCACAGUGACCCACCAUAUAGGCCUCUGGGACAGGUUCCAGAGUGAGGCGGCAGCUCUGAUGGGAUUUAGCGGAUGGCCGAGUAGGUGGGCAGCUCGGGUUUUUGAAAGGGAAGGGCAGGACUCCCUGGGGUCAGGGGAACUGACCACGCAAGUCUAGCCCCAGCCUCAUUAUGGAAAGGGGGGAGGAGGCGUGUGCAUCCAGAGUACUACCCCGAGGAGCCAGAGGUCAAGGUAAGAAGGUCAAUCAAGGCCCAGAAUCAGAAAGACAAACAGCCAUGGGAAGCCAGCCACCAACCAGGAAUAAACAGGACAGAGCUGUGAUGCUCUCCUUUCCAAGUCAACACAAAGGCUUCCCUGGGCCCACCUCCAUCACCCAGGCUAGCCCACAUGACAGACAGACAGACAGACACACAUACACACACACACAUACAAGCACAUACUGGGACCAGCCUACAGGACACACACCCAGGCAUGGACGCAGGCAUCCACCCCUCAGCAGCCACAGCAGUCAGUUCCUGAUCUGCUUCCCCAUCCCCCAUCCAUCCCCAGACUCCUGACUACAGACAUUCACACGUGCUCACAGCCACAGAACAUCACCCACACAGAGCCUGUGCCUUUCUGAUCUUUGGAACAAGUGGUAACAGUUGGGGGUUCAAACAGGCACAAAGGAAGAAAUGCAGGAUACCACUGAGUUUCUCCCAAAGGGUUAGGGGGCAGAGCAGAAGGAGCUGAAGGCAGGCUGGGUUGGUAAUGGUCAGCCCACACGGCAAGGGCAACCUCUGACAGCUAUCCCAAGCUCACAGGGACCCACGUGGCGUCAGGAUCUUCUUUUCCGAAACCAUUUCAGGUGGGUUUCAUGUGGCUGCAGAAUAAUAAAACCCCACAUUUGAACCAAACUCUCUACGUUUCAAAGAGGUCUUCCAUCCAUUAUCACCUCCUAGAGUAACAGUGGACAAGCAGAGAUACUCAUCUCCUUGGCCAAAUGACUGCCCGUCCCCAUGGGGCCCAAAGAUGUUUUCUCCAAAAUAAUCUCUAAUAGCCAAGCAUAUGUAAUAGUUGUGUGAGUGUACUUGUUUGUGUGUGAGUGCGUGCAGAAGCUUUAUGUAGCAGAGUGGGAUACAGUCAAACAAAAAUGAGGUUGCCAUGGCAACAGGCUCCGGCAUCACUGCAGCCUAUUAACACAAGUGAGGAAUGUGUUUGGCAGAUGCUUGAGUGUUAUUUAUGGUUUGGGUGUAGCAGAGGGACUUCUAACAGGCAACGAAGGAGGAAAAAACAACCCCGCGCCGCUCUUACUGUACCCCGCUGAGGAGACAAGGAGACGACAGUGAGAGGAGGACAGAAGGCGAGGCUGAGAGGCUGCAAAUGGGGAGUGAGAGCUGGGGAAGCAGGAAAGCAGGCAGGCAGAGAGGAGAGGUGGGCAGAGAGCAACAGGGGGCUGGAGAAAGGAAGUGAGAGAGAAAGAGCAGGGGAGGGGGACGCCAGGGGAAGGGCUGGAGCAGGCGAUGUAACGAUAGGGAGAAACAUCAUGCCCCAUAAGGGCUGCCCCACCUUGCCUCUCAGCCCCUUCUCGGGUAGAAACCAGCAGGAGGCACCCGAGAAGAUACCAAAUCUUUCUCUUCCCCAUUGGAGCAAAGGGCAGAGCUCCAAACGCAAAAGGGGCUGGGGAAGAAUAAAAUACCACAUCAGAUACUGAUGUUGAAGACCCGGGCUGUGGAAGCAAGAGGGCCAGCCCCUCAGGAAAAGUGAAAAAGGCCAAUGCAGCUUCCUGAGGGCCUACUGUGUGUCCAAGGCGCCGUGGAGAGAAAUUCCCAAAGCCACAACAUUAGAAACCGCACACUGCUGCCGCAUUUCCCAGGAUGUGUAUCUUUAUCAAAGAAAAGAACAAAGCAUCAAACACAAACCAUCCUUUGACACCUGCCCCUCUGGGGUAACCUGAGGCAGAGGGUAAUGCUGGACUGUGCCACUAAUAUUUCCCCACCAUCCAAAAGGGUUUGCUUCAGAAAUACAAAGUUUCCAUCAGAGGUAAUCAGAAAGGUAAAUCAAAUACAAACACAAAAAGAUACAGAUUCCUCUGAAGCCACAUAGAAAAAUGUUCACAGUCUGUUAGUGGGGACUAUUCUAAAUAAGCUCUGCCAUACUCAACAGAGAAGGUCAUGAAAAGUUAAGUGCAAACCCACCCCAAAGCCUACAGACCAGGGAAGGUCUGAAGACUGCAAUGGGUACAAGAAGCAUGGGGUGGGAGGUGGUGGAGGUGGGGAGAGAAGGGAGAGGGACUGGCCUGUGGAACUGGAAAAGAAAGUCAGUCAACUACUCUGUUACUGCAAUGCAUCUUGCUAAGCGGGAGACAGUGCACCCCAGGUCCAGCACUCCUGUCCUGGGCUCUGACUCCAACCUCCUGAAAUCAUCCAGGAUUGCCUGGGGCUGGGUCCUUGGCAGACUUUAGUCCCAAGUCUGGUUUGGAAAUACCCCGAAAAAUUCUGAAAUCUCUGCUGCUCUAUGUGGAUGUCAUGCCUUUCCCUCUGCAGAAAAGCUAUAUUCACCCAAGCAACCUGCCUCCCAUGCAAGGCAGGAACAACCCCCAAAGAUAUACUACCCGUGUGAUAGCUUGGGUCCCCAGGAAGAAGCCUUUAUAAGCACUAACAAUAAUAGUUAACUUUUUUUUAAAACCAGCUCUCAAUAGGUUUCUCUCUCAAGUUCAAAGCUGAUGUCUAAAGAUUUUUUUUCCUUCUAAUUCCAGAUCAGAAAACUUUUAACUCAGCAUCAACAACCCCACCUACUUUACUCACCGAAACACAAUCAAGUUGUUAAAAAGUUAUUAAAUCCCUCCUAAGUCCCCUACACUGUCCCAGACAAGGGAGAGAAGGAAAAACAUACACCUCAGGAUUCCUGCAGCCAAGGAGUUUAACCAAUAGGCACUGGAGAAAAAGU
ensembl:lncRNA